rnacentral:rRNA from 1 species
GACGAACGCUGGCGGCGUGCCUAAUACAUGCAAGUAGAACGCUGAAGAGAGGAGCUUGCUCUUCUUGGAUGAGUUGCGAACGGGUGAGUAACGCGUAGGUAACCUGCCUUGUAGCGGGGGAUAACUAUUGGAAACGAUAGCUAAUACCGCAUAACAAUGGAUGACCCAUGUCAUUUAUUUGAAAGGGGCAAAUGCUCCACUACAAGAUGGAACUGCGUUGUAUUAGCUAGUAGGUGAGGUAACGGCUCACCUAGGCGACGAUACAUAGCCGACCUGAGAGGGUGAUCGGCCACACUGGGACUGAGACACGGCCCAGACUCCUACGGGAGGCAGCAGUAGGGAAUCUUCGGCAAUGGGGGCAACCCUGACCGAGCAACGCCGCGUGAGUGAAGAAGGUUUUCGGAUCGUAAAGCUCUGUUGUAAGUCAAGAACGAGUGUGAGAGUGGAAAGUUCACACUGUGACGGUAGCUUACCAGAAAGGGACGGCUAACUACGUG